rnacentral:lncRNA from 1 species
AGUUUAUCUCAGGUAUGGAAUUCAGGUAAAUAUUCUGUAAAGCUCCAGUCUUAAUGACUAAGUAGGUAUUACUCUUGGGUAUUAAAGACUGAUUUUAUCAGGAGUCACUUAAAACAAGGGAUUAAGUUCAAAACUAUUGCGAGGGCCCUGGUGAAUGAAUUCUGACAUCUGAAGUCAUCCAAAUCUAAGCAAAUACUUUAGGCUUGAUACUAUAUAACACAAACUGUAUUUACACGGACCAAAUUCUGUAGGAGUCACUUUUACCAUGGACUCCGCAUGUGUUGACUCAAGGUCCUUUCAAGCACGGAUCGCAGUGCCCAGUGGUCAAUACCCUUACUUUUAUCCAGUGUCUGCUUCAUUUAAACUUAAUCAACUCCAUCAACGAACUGGAACAGGGAAACGUCCCUGCGGUAAGAAUGUUGUGCUUUUGUGGGAUAAUUCUUUGCUCUUUCCCGAUCCGUUGCCGUUAAACCUAAAAUUGCACUAUGAUGAACUUUUUUUUUUUAAUCAAUAUGAUAAUGACAAUUGGGCCUGAAUGCUCUGGUAGGACUUAGACUUGAGCUGAAUCUGGUUUCCAUCACUAAAACAACUUCUGGUCCUAUGAUAGUCCGCCUCCUUUUGUGUGGCUUUAAUACCUUUUCUUCCCUGACAUUGAAUAUUGCUCAAGCUGGAAAAUGAUGCAUCUUUGUAGGGAAGGCUCAUAUGUCACAGCCAGAAAGUGAAGCAGACCGAUUGGUUGUGUGAAUUAUCUGACUUGCUGCAGUGAAUUAUUUGCACUGUUUCCCUACCUAGUCAACAAGUUCCUGAGGUAUAGUAGAGAUCAAUCAAAACUGACAGCCUGCAUGUGAAGGCUUUACUGUGUAAAUCUGGCGCACUCAUCCUAGCCAUGCCGGCCCUGGCAUCUGUAUAUCAUUUUUAUACUGCUACCAGUAGAGCAAUUUCAAAAGUAUUUGCAAGGAAAAUGCGUGUCCCCAUCUGUUCCUAGAAGCAUAAAUGUGCCACCUUCAGAGGGUUUUCACUGGUAAUCAUAUCUUUAAUGAUCAACAGACUAGUGAUAUAUAUUUUUCCAUAAAAUGGGGUUUUCUUCACUUUAUUGUGAUUGGCUAGAAUAAAUAGCUUUUCCAUAUGUUCGGGAGAUAAAAU